CAAAAUGGUUAAAUUUCAACCGCAAAAUAUAUGAUACAAUUUGCAGCCAUCUUUGCAAGAGUUCGUGUUUGUUUUUUUUUAACAGCUUCGCAGUGAAUUCGCUGGUUUUAGUUUAUUAUAGUGACUUUAUGUAUAAGAUAAAGAUUACAAUUAACGCUUGAUCGGAAGAAUUUGUUACAAGAAGAAACCAAGAGAUUUCGCUGAAUGAUUUGCAGGAAAAAAUAGCAUAACUAACGAGAACUAUGCGAAGAAAUGAACCCGCAAUCGGAGGAAAAUUAUUUCACCUCAUCAGAACGGCACGGACAGAUUUCUCGGAGACUGGCGGUAGUGGCAAACAUCUGCUAGGAACCACUCUGCUUUGCCAUAUGAUAAAACAUUUUUUAAGAGUGAUGAUCUAAAAAUCACUUCCCUUCGCUCAUUGAGUCCGAGUCCAAUUCGAGAAGCUGCGUUAGGAAACAUGGGAGGAGCGGAUACAAGAUCAGGUGCUGUGCAGUCACCGGGGAGGAGGCAGCAGCACUUGCGAAAAUGCAACAAAAUAGUGCAUAUUCAUUGUAAACAUCCAACACGGGAGAUUUCGAUUCAUGCGACCUGAACAAGUUUUCGAUAAAUAUUUUUAGUUUUUAAUAUUAAUCCAAAUAUUUAAAUAAAAGCUCUUUUGGA